rnacentral:rRNA from 1 species
AACGAACGCUUUCUUCCUUCCUAACACAUGCAAGUCGAACGAGACCUUCGGGUCUAGUGGCGCACGGGUGCGUAACGCGUGGGAACCUGCCCUUAGGUUCGGAAUAACUCCCCGAAAGGGGUGCUAAUACCGGAUAAUGUCUUCGGACCAAAGAUUUAUCGCCUUUGGAUGGGCCCGCGUUGGAUUAGCUAGUUGGUAGGGUAAAAGCCUACCAAGGCGACGAUCCAUAGCUGGUCUGAGAGGAUGAUCAGCCACACUGGGACUGAGACACGGCCCAGACUCCGCGGGGAGGCGGGGGGGGGGAAUAUUGGAGAGGGGGGUAAGGCCUGACCAACCAGGGCCGGGUAAGGAAGGAGGCCCUGGGGGUUGAAAUGUUUUUUUACCAGGGAAAAUAAGGAAGGUACGGGGGAAAAAAGCCCCGGCUAACCCGGGG